GACGAACGCUGGCGGCGUGCCUAAUACAUGCAAGUUGAGCGCUGAAGGCUGGUACUUGUACCAACUGGAUGUGCCGCGCACGGGUGAGUAACGCGUGGGGACUCUGCCUUUGAGCGGGGGACCACAUUUGGAAACGAAUGCUUAUACCGCAUAAAAACUUUAAACACAAGUUUUAAGUUUGAAAGAUGCAAUUGCAUCACUCAAAGAUGAUCUCGCGUUGUAUUAGCUAGUUGGUGAGGUAAAGGCUCACCAAGGCGAUGAUACAUAGCCGACCUGAGAGGGUGAUCGGCCACAUUGGGACUGAGACACGGCCCAAACGCCUACGGGAGGCAGCAGUAGGGAAUCUUCGGCGAUGGACGAAAGUCUGACCGAGCAACGCCGCGUGAGUGAAGAAGGUUUUCGGAUCGUAAAACUCUGUUGGUAGAGAGGAACGUUGGUGAGAGUGGAAAGCUCAUCAAGUGACGGUAACGACCCAGAAAGGGACGGCUAACUACGUG
rnacentral:rRNA from 1 species